rnacentral:rRNA from 1 species
AGAGUGAACGCUGGCGGUAGGCCUAACACAUGCAAGUCGAACGGCAGCACAGUAGGAGCUUGCUCUUACGGGUGGCGAGUGGCGGACGGGUGAGGAAUACAUCGGAAUCUACCUUUUGGUGGGGGAUAACGUAGGGAAACUUACGCUAAUACCGCAUACGCCCUUCGGGGGAAAGCCGGGGACCAGCAAUGGCCUGGCGCUGAUAGAUGAGCCGAUGUCGGAUUAGCUAGUUGGUGAGGUAAUGGCUCACCAAGGCGACGAUCCGUAGCUGGUCUGAGAGGAUGAUCAGCCACACUGGAACUGAGACACGGUCCAGACUCCUACGGGAGCAGCAGUGGGGAAUAUUGGACAAGUGGGCGCAAGCCUGAUCCAGCCAUACCGCGUGGGU